UACGGAGGGUGCAAGCGUUAUCCGGAUUCACUGGGUUUAAAGGGUGCGUAGGCGGGCAGGUAAGUCAGAGGUGAAAUCUCCGGGCUUAACCCGGAAACUGCCUUUGAUACUAGCUGUCUUGAAUAUGGUGGAGGUCAGCGGAAUAUGUCAUGUAGCGGUGAAAUGCUUAGAGAUGACAUAGAACACCCAUUGCGAAGGCAGCUGACUACGCCUAUAUUGACGCUGAGGCACGAAAGCGUGGGGAUCAAACAGG
rnacentral:rRNA from 1 species